rnacentral:rRNA from 1 species
GGAGGGUGCGAGCGUUAAUCGGAAUCACUGGGCGUAAAGCGCGCGUAGGCGGUUGGAUUAGUCGAAUGUGAAAGCCCCGGGCUUAACCUGGGAAUUGCGUUCGAUACUACCCAACUAGAGUAUGGGAGAGGGAAGCGGAAUUUCCGGUGUAGCGGUGAAAUGCGUAGAUAUCGGAAGGGACACCAGUUGCGAAGGCGGCUUCCUGGCCCAAUACUGACGCUCCGGUGCGAAAGCGUGGGGAGCGAACAGGAUUAGAUACCCUGGUAGUCCACGCCGUAAACGAUGAGAACUAGAUGUUGGGAGGAUUUGCCUCUCAGUGUCGCAGCUAACGCGUUAAGUUCUCCGCCUGGGGGAGUACGGCCGCAAGGCUG